AUUGAACGCUGGCGGCAUGCCUCACACAUGCAAGUCGAACGGUAACGCGGGGCAACCUGGCGACGAGUGGCGAACGGGUGAGUAAUGCAUCGGAACGUGCCCAGUAGUGGGGGAUAGCCCGGCGAAAGCCGGAUUAAUACCGCAUACGACCUACGGGUGAAAGGGGGGGAUCGCAAGACCUCUCGCUAUUGGAGCGGCCGAUGUCAGAUUAGGUAGUUGGGGGGGUAAAGGCCCACCAAGCCUUCGAUCUGUAGCUGGUCUGAGAGGACGACCAGCCACACUGGGACUGAGACACGGCCCAGACUCCUACGGGAGGCAGCAGUGGGGAAUUUUGGACAAUGGGCGCAAGCCUGAUCCAGCCAUGCCGCGUGCGGGAAGAAGGCCUUCGGGUUGUAAACCGCUUUUGUCAGGGAAGAAACGCUCUGGGCUAAUACCUCGGGGUAAUGACGGUACCUGAAGAAUAAGCACCGGCUAACUACGUGCCAGCCGCCGCCGUAA
rnacentral:rRNA from 1 species